rnacentral:rRNA from 1 species
AGUGAACGCUGGCGGUAUGCCUAACACAUGCAAGUCGAGCGGCAGCACGAUAAGCGCUUUCCUCUACCGGUAGCGGCUGGCGGGCGGGUGAGGCAUACAUCACCAACCUAUUUUACGGGGGUGACUACGGGGAGCAACAUACACUAACACCUCAUACGUUCUACCGGUUAAAGCAGGAGAUCAUCGCACCUUUCCCGAUUCAUAUAGCUGGUGUCGGAUUAGCUAGUUGGCGGGGUAAAGGCCCACCAAGGCGACGAUCCGUAGCUGGUCUGAGAGGAUGAUCAGCCACACUGGAACUGAGACACGGUCCAGACUCCUACGGGAGGCAGCAGUGGGGAAUAUUGGACAAUGGGCGCAAGCCUGAUCCAGCCAUACCGCGUGGGUGAAGAAGGCCUUCGGGUUGUAAAGCCCUUUUGUUGGGAAAGAAAAGCAGCAGGUUAAUACCCCGCUGUUCUGACGGUACCCAAAGAAUAAGCACCGGCUAACUUCGUG